CCUACGGGUGGCAGCAGUGAGGAAUAUUGGUCAAUGGCCGAAAGGCUGAACCAGCCAUGCCGCGUGAAGGUCGGUGCCCUAUGGGCGUUAAACUUCUUUUGUGCGGGAGCAAUAAUGGUCACGGUUGGCCAGACGAGAGUACCGUACGAAUAAGCAUCGGCUAACCCCGUGCCAGCAGCCGCGGUGAUACGGGGGAUGCAGGCGUUAUACGGAUUUAUUGGGUUUAAAGGGUGCGUAGGCUGUGAGGUAAGUCAGCGGUGAAAUGCCCCCGCUCAACGGGGGGAAGUGCCAUUGAUACUGCCGUGCUGGAAUGCGGAUGCCGUGGGAGGAAUGUGUGGUGUAGCGGUGAAAUGCAUAGAUAUCACACAGAACACCGAUUGCGAAGGCAUCUCACGAAUCCGCGAUUGACGCUGAUGCACGAAAGCGUGGGUAUCAAACAGGAUUAGAUACCCCUGUAGUC
rnacentral:rRNA from 1 species